AAAAUGACUCUCGGCAACGGAUAUCCCGGCUCUCGCAUCGAUGAAGAACGUAGCGAAAUGCGAUACUUGGUGUGAAUUGCAGAAUCCCGUGAACCAUCGAGUCUUUGAACGCAAGUUGCGCCCGAAGCCGUCAGGCUUAGGGCACGUCUGCCUGGGUGUCACGC
rnacentral:rRNA from 1 species